GAUGAACGCUGGCGGUGUGCCUAACACAUGCAAGUCGAACGAGCCUUCGGGCUAGUGGCGGACGGGUGAGUAACACGUUAGUACCUGCCCUUUAGUGGGAAUAACUCGGCGAAAGUCGAGCUAAUACCGCAUGUGACCGUUUACGGUUAAAGACUUCGGUCGCUAAAGGAGGGGCUUGCGUCUGAUUAGCUAGUUGGUAGGGUAAAAGCCUACCAAGGCGAUGAUCAGUAGCUGGUUCGAGAGGAUGACCAGCCACACGCGGACUGAGAUACGGCCGCGACUCCUACGGGAGGCCAGCAGUGAGGAAUCUUCCACAAUGGGCAAAGCCUGAUGGAGCAACACCGCGUGCAGGAUGACGGCCUG
rnacentral:rRNA from 1 species